rnacentral:rRNA from 1 species
GACGAACGCUGGCGGCGUGCCUAACCCAUGCAAGUCGAACGAGCAGAGAUCUUCGGAUCGAAGCGAGUGGCGGACGGGUGAGUAACGCGUGAACAACCAACCCUGCACAGGGGGACAACAGCUGGAAACGGCUGCUAAUACCGCAUAAGACCACAGAGCCGCAUGGCUUAGGGGUCAAAGGAGAAAUCCGGUGCAGGACGGGUUCGCGUCCCAUUAGCUAGUAGGUGGGGUAACGGCCCACCUAGGCAACGAUGGGUAGGGGUUCUGAGAGGAAGGUCCCCCACACUGGAACUGAGACACGGUCCAGACUCCUACGGGAGGCAGCAGUGAGGAAUAUUGGUCAAUGGGCGGAAGCCUGAACCAGCCAAGUAGCGUGAAGGAUUACAGCCCUACGGGUUUUAAACUUCUUUUAUAUAAGAGUAAUGUGCACUACGUGUAGUGUAUUGCAAGUAUUAUAUGAAUAAGCAUCGGCUAACUCCGUG